AUUGAACGCUGGCGGCAGGCCUAACACAUGCAAGUCGAACGAGGGGCGGACGGGGGAGUAAUGUCUGGGAAACGGCCCGAUGGAGGGGGAAAACUACUGGAAACGGUAGCUAAUACCGCAUACCAUCGGAUGUGCCCAGAGGGGAUUAGCUGGUAGGGGGGGUAACGGCUCACCUAGGCGACGAUCCCUAGGUGGGCUGAGAGGAUGACCAGCCACACUGGAACUGAGCCACGGUCCAGACUCCUACGCGAGGCAGCAGUGGGGAAUAUUGCACAAUUGGCGCAAGCCUGAUGCAGCCAUGCCGCGUGUAUGAAGAAGGCCUUCGGGUUGUAAAGUACUUUCAGCGAGGAGGCGUUACUCGCAGAAGAAGCACCGGCUAACUCCGUGCCAGCAGCCGCGGUAAUAC
rnacentral:rRNA from 1 species